rnacentral:rRNA from 1 species
GACGAACGCUGGCGGCGUGCUUAACACAUGCAAGUCGAACGCUGAAGCUCAGCUUUUGUUGGGUGGAUGAGUGGCGAACGGGUGAGUAACACGUGAGUAACCUGCCCCCUUCUUUGGGAUAACGCCCGGAAACGGGUGCUAAUACUGGAUAUUCACUGGUCUUCGCAUGGGGGUUGGUGGAAAGGGUUUUUCUGGUGGGGGAUGGGCUCGCGGCCUAUCAGCUUGUUGGUGGGGUGAUGGCCUACCAAGGCUUUGACGGGUAGCCGGCCUGAGAGGGUGACCGGUCACAUUGGGACUGAGAUACGGCCCAGACUCGUACGGGAGGCAGCAGUGGGGAGUAUUGCACAAUGGGCGCAAGCCUGAUGCAGCGACGCAGCGGGAGGGAUGGAGGCAUUCGGGUUGUGAACCUCUUUCGCUAAUGGUCAAGCCGCAACAAUGGUUGUGGUGAGGGUAGUGGGUAAAGAAGCGCCGGCUAACUACGUG